ACGCUUCGGAUUUGUUAAUCCGUGAUAAUCGGGAUAUCAAAAGGGCUGACCCUUUUUGUCAAGAACCAAACCAAAGCAGGGCAGGACAAGUUUUCUUUGAUGGACAGAAUGAGCAGAUCAAAUGAUAACAAGUGUCGUGUUUACGUGGGAAACCUCCCACAAGACAUUAGAAGUAGAGAUGUUGAAAAUCUUUUCUCCAAGUAUGGAAAAAUUAUUGAUGUAAACGUGAAGGAUGGCCAUGGAGGAAGGGGACCUUCAUUUGCAUUUUUGGAAUUUGAAGAUCCCAGAGAUGCAGAAGAUGCCAUCAGAUACAGGGAUGGUUAUGAUUUUGAAGGUAGUCGACUGAGAGUUGAAUACCCACAAGGAAAAAAAGAUUUUGGUUCUGGUGGUUCAUUUCGUGGUGGUUUUUCAAGAGGAAGAGGAAGAGGACGUGGAGGAGGACCACCCAGAAGAUCUGAUUACCGCGUGUUGGUUUCAGGACUGCCAGCCACUGGAAGCUGGCAGGACAUAAAAGAUCAUCUUCGAGAAGCAGGCGAGGUGGUAUAUGCAGAUGUCUUCCGUGAUGGCACAGGUGUGGUGGAAUUUUCACGCCGUGAUGACAUGGAAUGGGCUGUUAGAAAUAUGGAUGAUUCAAAGUUUAAAUCACACGAAGGUGAGACAGGUAUUAUACGAGUGAAGCAGGACGGUUCCUCAAGCAGGCGAAGAAAAAGUUACUCGCGUUCACGAUCUCGAUCUCCCAGAUGAUUUCAAUCACCACACGAGGAAUAAAGUAGUCACAAUAGAAAAAUGUUUUGAUAACACUUAGAACUUAAAUAAGGAUGUUAGACGAGGACUGAACCCUGCCCAGGGUAACUUCCGUUAAGGAUUGGGAGCAGAGAAUCAAAAACUUGAAGAUGCGGAUUUUUCUAGAUGACUCUUGUCUACUGAAAAAUAGGGAACUUUCUCUGAAGAUACGGAACUUCCCUAGAUGUGUCGUGUCUACCGAACAAUAAGGAGUUAAAAACAUCUUGAAGAUACGAAACUUUUUUAGGUGUAUCGUUUCUACCGAAAAAUAAGAAGUUCAAAACAUCUUGAAGAUUCGGAACUUCUUUAGAUGUAUCGUGUCUACUGAAAAUUAAGGAGUUAAAAACAUCUUGAAGAUUCAGAACUUCUCUAGAUGUGUCGUUUCUACCGAAAAAUAAGGAGUUAAAAACAGCUUGAAGAUUUGGAACGUCUUUAGAUGUAGUGUCUACCGAAAAAUAAGGAGUUAAAAACAUCUUGAAGAUUCCGAACUUCUCUAGAUGUGUCGUUUCUACCGAAAAAUAAGGAGUUAAAAACAGCUUGAAGAUUCGGAACUUCUUUAGAUGUAGUGUCUACCGAAAAAUAAGAAGUAAAAAAAAAACAGCUUUAAGAUUCGGAACUUCUCUAGAUUGUCGUGUCUACCGAGAAAUAAGGAGUUAAAAACAUCUUGAAGAUUCGGAACUUCUCUAGAUGUGUCGUUUCUACCGAAAAAUAAGGAGUUAAAAACAGCUUGAAGAUUUGGAACUUCUUUAGAUGUGGUGUCUACCGAAAAAUAAGGAGUUAAACGUGUUAGACGUGUCUACCGAAAAAUAAGGAGUUAAAAACAUCUUGAAGAUUCGGAACUUCUCAGAUGUGUCGUUUCUACCGAAAAAUAAGGAGUUAAAAACAUCUUGAAGAUUCGGAACUUCUUUAGAUGUAUCGUGUCUACUGAAAAUUAAGGAGUUAAAAACAUUUGAAGAUUCAGAACUUCUCUAGAUGUGUGUGUCUACCGAAAAAUAAGGAGUUAAAAACAUUUUGAAGAUACGGAACUUCUCUAGAUGUGUCGUUUCUACCGAAAAAUAAGGAGUUAAAAACAUAUUGAAGAUUCAGAACUUCUCUAGAUGUGUCGUUUCUACCGAAAAAUAAAGAGUUAAAAACAGCUUGAAGAUUCGGAACUUCUUUAGAUGUAGUGUCUACCGAAAAAUAAGAAGUAAAAAAAAAACAGCUUGAAGAUUCGGAACUUCUCUAGAUGUGUCGUGUCUACCGAGAAAUAAGGAGUUAAAAACAGCUUGAAGAUUAUCGUAUUUACCGAAAAAUAAGGAGUUAAAAACAUUCAAAAAUUCGGAACUUCUUUAGAUGCAGUGUCUACCAAAAAAUAAGGAGGUAAUAACAUCUUGAAGAUUCGGAACUUCUCUAGAUGUGUAGGGUCUAAGAUUCGGAACUUCUGUAGAUGUGUCGUGUCUACCGAGAAAUAAGGAGCUAAAGCAUCUUGAAGGUUUGGAACUUCUCUAGAUGUGUCGUGUCUACCGAGAAAUAAGGAGUUAAAAAUAUCUUGAAGAUCUUGAAAAUUCGGAACUUCGCUAGAUGUGUCGGGUCUACCAAAAAAUAAGGUGUUAAAGCAUUUAAAGAUUCGGAACUUCUGUAGAUGUAUCGUGUCUACUGAAAAAUGGGAGUUAAAAACAUCUUGAAGAUUCGGAACUUCUCUAGAUGUGUCGUGUCUAACGAAAAAAGGAGGUAAAAACAUCUUGCAGAUGCAUAACUUCUCUAGAUGUAUCGUGUCUACCAAAAAAUAAGUUAAAGAUUCGGAACUUCUCUAGAUGUAUUGUCACCAUUGAGAAAUAAGGAUUGAAAAUAUCUUGAAGAUACAGAACUUCUCGAAAUAUAUCGUACUGACAACAA